GUGAGGAAUAUUGCACAAUGGGCGAAAGCCUGAUGCAGCAACGCCGCGUGAGUGAUGAAGGCCUUUGGGUCGUAAAACUCUGUCCUUGGGGAAGAAAAAAAUGACGGUACCCUUGGCGGAAGCCCCGGCUAACUACGUGCCAGCAGCCGCGGUAAUACGUAGGGGGCAAGCGUUAUCCGGACUUAUUGGGCGUAAAGAGUGCGUAGGUGGUUUUGUCAGCGUAGGGUGAAAGGCAGUAGCUCCACUAUUGUUAGCCCUGCGAACUGUGGGAGUGGAGUGGAGGAGAGGAAAGUGGAAUUCCUAGUGUAGCGGUGAAAUGCGUAGAUAUUAGGAGGAACACCAGUGGCGAAGGCGACUUUCUGGACUGUAACUGCCACUGAGGCACGAAAGCGUGGGUAGCAAACAGGAUUAGAAACCCGUGUAGUCC
rnacentral:rRNA from 1 species